rnacentral:rRNA from 1 species
GAACGGGUGGUAGCAAUACCACUAGUGGCGCACGGGUGCGUAACGCGUAACCAACCUGCCCUUGACUGGGGGAUAGCCCGCCGAAAGGCGGAUUAAUACCGCAUAAACUCGCAGUGUGGCAUCACACAACGAGUAAAGAUUUAUUGGUCAAGGAUGGGGUUGCGUGACAUUAGCUAGUUGGCGGGGUAACGGCCCACCAAGGCGACGAUGUCUAGGGGACCUGAGAGGGUGAUCCCCCACACUGGCACUGAGAUACGGGCCAGACUCCUACGGGAGGCAGCAGUAGGGAAUAUUGGGCAAUGGGCGAGAGCCUGACCCAGCCAUGCCGCGUGCCGGAUGAAGGCCUUCUGGGAUGUAAACGGCUUUUCUCAGGGAAGAAAAAGACCAUGCGUGGUACACUGACGGUACCUGAGGAAUAAGCACCGGCUAACUCCGUGCCAGCAGCCGCGGUAAUACGGAGGGUGCAAGCGUUGUCCGGAUUUAUUGGGUUUAAAGGGUGCGUAGGCGGCCCGUUAAGUCCGGGGUGAAAGCCCACUGCUCAACAGUGGAACUGCCCUGGAUACUGACGGGCUUGAGUCCAGACGAGGUUGGCGGAAUGGAUGCUGUAGCGGUGAAAUGCAUAGAUAGCAUCCAGAACCCCGAUUGCGAAGGCAGCUGACUAGGCUGGUACUGACGCUGAGGCACGAAAGCGUGGGGAGCGAACAGGAUUAGAUACCCUGGUAGUCCACGCCGUAAACGAUGGAUACUCGCUGGUGGCGAUAGACAGUCACUGGCUUAGCGAAAGCGGUAAGUAUCCCACCUGGGGAGUACGCUCGCAAGAGUG